CCUACGGGGGGCUGCAGUGGGGAAUAUUGGACAAUGGGCGCAAGCCUGAUCCAGCAAUACCGCGUGUGUGAAGAAGGCCUGAGGGUUGUAAAGCACUUUUAAUCGGGAGGAAUAGCGGUCGGUUAAUACCCGGUCGUCUGACAUUACCGAUAGAAAAAGCACCGGCUAACUCCGUGCCAGCAGCCGCGGUAAUACGGAGGGUGCAAGCGUUAAUCGGAAUUUGUGUGGGUAAUGGGUUAAGUGGCGGGUGAAAGCCCCGGGCUUAACCUGGGAACGGCAUGUGAAACUGAUCGACUGGAGUUGGGUAGAGGGGAGUGGAAUUUCAGGUGUAGCGGUGAAAUGCGUAGAUAUCUGAAGGAACACCAGUGGCGAAGGCGGCUCCCUGGACCCAAACUGACGCUGAGGCACGAAAGCGUGGGUAGCAAACAGGAUUAGAUACCCCUGUAGUC
rnacentral:rRNA from 1 species